UACGUAGGGGGCAAGCGUUGUCCGGAAUCAUUGGGCGUAAAGCGUGCGCAGGCGGUUCGUUAAGUCAGAUGUGAAAGCCCCGGGCUCAACCUGGGAACUGCAUUUGAAACUGGCGGGCUUGAGUGUGGCAGAGGGGGUGGAAUUCCGCGUGUAGCAGUGAAAUGCGUAGAGAUGCGGAGGAACACCGAUGGCGAAGGCAGCCCCCUGGGCCAACACUGACGCUCAGGCACGAAAGCGUGGGGAGCAAACAGG
rnacentral:rRNA from 1 species